CUACGGGGUGCUGCAGUGAGGAAUAUUGGUCAAUGGGGGAAACCCUGAACCAGCGACGCCGCGUGUGGGAUGAAUGGGCUCUGCCCUGUAAACCACUGUUGAGAGGGAAGAAAAGCUUCUUAUGGAAGCCGGGACUGUACCUCUUCAGAAAGGAUCGGCUAACUACGUGCCAGCAGCCGCGGGAAUACGUAGGAUCCAAGCGUUGUCCGGAAUUACUGGGUGUAAAGGGUGCGUAGGCGGGCUUGUGCGUCAGGGGUUAAAUCCCACGGCUUAACCGUGGAGCUGCCCUUGAUACGGCAAGUCUUGAGUGUGAGAGAGGAUGGUAGAAUUCCUGGUGUAGCGGUGAAAUGCGUAGAUAUCAGGAGGAAUACCAGUGGCGAAGGCGGCCAUCUGGCUCACUACUGACGCUGAGGCACGAAAGCGUGGGGAGCGAACAGGAUUAGAUACCCGUGUAGUC
rnacentral:rRNA from 1 species